GACGAACGCUGGCGGCGUGCUUAACACAUGCAAGUCGAACGGAAAGGCCCUGCUUUUGUGGGGUGCUCGAGUGGCGAACGUGUGAGUAACACGUGAGUAACCUGCCCUUGACUUUGGGAUAACUUCAGGAAACUGGGGCUAAUACCGGAUGGGAGCUCCCGCUGCAUGGUGGGGGUGGGAAAGUUUCGGCGGUUGGGGAUGGACUCGCGGCUUAUCAGCUUGUUGGUGGGGUAGUGGCUUACCAAGGCUUUGACGGGUAGCCGGCCUGAGAGGGUGACCGGCCACAUUGGGACUGAGAUACGGCCCAGACUCCUACGGGAGGCAGCAGUGGGGAAUAUUGCACAAUGGGCGGAAGCCUGAUGCAGCAACGCCGCGUGCGGGAUGACGGCCUUCGGGUUGUAAACCGCUUUCGCCUGUGACGAAGCGUGAGUGACGGUAAUGGGUAAAGAAGCACCGGCUAACUACGUG
rnacentral:rRNA from 1 species